UUUCACUUAUUUUUCAGCCUUUAGUUAAUUUUUCCCUACCCUAGCCAUUCACCCUUCUUAUCCCUUCUUCCUCUCUCAGUUUUCUUCCCUUUUUUCCAUCACAUUGCUGCCCAUCAAGCCCUCUUUUCUUGCCAUCCUUCUCUCUUCCAUUGAUAGUUAAUUUUUGAUUAAUUUCCUCAUCUCUGUUGCUUUUAUUUUUCAUCAAUUUUCCAGCCUUAGAGCUAUCCCUUUUGGCACUAAAAGUUACCCUCCUUUGUUGCCACAAAGAUCUCCAUUGCUACCCCUUGACAUCUCCCAAGUAAAUGACUUUUUUUUUCUUUUUCUUUUCUAAUUUUUCUAUAAAAGAUUCACUAUUCUAGAUUUGGAGUUUUAAUAAAAUUUUCUAAUUUAAACAAUCAAUUUCUAGCCAUCAAACUCAUCACUUGAGCCACCCAAAGCAAUCCUUAAAACCGUUGCCAUUAGUGGUGCUUGUCAUCCCUAAGUUUCUCUUUUUGGUGGCUGCCGAUUUGAGCCCUAAAACCAAUUUAAACCACUGAUUACAACCUUUAUUUAACUGAUUUUAAAGCCUAAAAUAGACUAUUUUUAUCCCUAAAACAAGACUUUAAGGUACUUUUCAAAAUAGCCCCCAUUGUGGCUAAUUUUGGUGGUGUCUCGCCCCUAGAACCACCAUAAAGGGCUGCUAUUUUUUCGUACAUUUACCACCCUUUUCUAGUAGGGCUUUAAUUAUUAAUACCUUAUUCUAAUCGACCUUUUAUCUGCUACAUUAUAGGAAAAUUUGAUCUUAUUCUUCCAACAACUCAGAUCUGACAAAUCGGAAAGCGAGCUGAUUUAAGCGCCUCAGGCUAGCAAUGAAGUCGUCUGUCGUUCCUACGUACGUUUCACACUGAAUCAGUGUAAGUAAUCUAGUCGGUUUGGAUAUGAAAGUUAGUUAUUGCAACACUAAUUUGGCUGAUCCUUUGGAGAGUUUUUUUUAAGGGUGGUUUGAUAGCAUCUUAACUCAAUAAAGGUUGUACUUUAGCUUAGGUCCGAUUCAGGUCUAAAGUGGGAAUCGAGGAUUUUACAAGUAGUGCUGUGGUUUUGCGAAAUUAAGGUGUGGGUUCUAUCCAGUAAACUUUAGUGUUUAAAUUAUAUUUCUAGUGGUUAAAUUAAUGUUUACGCUUGUUGGUCGGGCUUAGUUAAAUGGAAAAGUAAGUGAUUUUAAGAUGGCCGAAUCAAGUAUAUUUCGAGCCCUAAUUAAAUGACAUAUUUGCAAAAUUAGCAUGGUUGUCUGAUUA